GUGGAUUAGAUACCCCGGUAGUCCUGGCAGUAAACGGUGCACGCUUGGUGUGAGGGGAAUCGACCCCCCUUGUGCCGGAGCAAACGCGUUAAGCGUGCCGCCUGGGAAGUACGGUCGCAAGACUAAAACUCAAAGAAAUUGACGGGGACCCGCACAAGCGGUGGAGUAUGUGGCUUAAUUCGAUGCAACGCGAAGAACCUUACCAAGGCUUGACAUGGAUUUCUAAGCACGUGAAAGCGUGUGACCCUUCGGGGGACUUCCACAGGUGCUGCACGGUGGUCGUCAGCU
rnacentral:rRNA from 1 species